rnacentral:rRNA from 1 species
UACGGAGGGAGCUAGCGUUGUUCGGAUAUACUGGGCGUAAAGCGCACGUAGGCGGCGCCGUAAGUCAGGGGUGAAAUCCCGGAGCUCAACUCCGGAGCUGCCCUUGAAACUGCAGUGCUAGAAUUCUGGAGAGGCGAGUGGAAUUCCGAGUGUAGAGGUGAAAUUCGUAGAUAUUCGGAAGAACACCAGUGGCGAAGGCGACUCGCUGGACAGACAUUGACGCUGAGGUGCGAAAGCGUGGGGAGCAAACAGG